rnacentral:rRNA from 1 species
GACGGAGGAUGCAAGCGUUAUCCGGAAUGAUUGGGCGUAAAGCGUCCGCAGGUGGCAGUUCAAGUCUGCUGUCAAAGACCGGGGCUCAACCUCGGAAAGGCAGUGGAAACUGAACAGCUAGAGUAUGGUAGGGGCAGAGGGAAUUCCUGGUGUAGCGGUGAAAUGCGUAGAGAUCAGGAAGAACAUCGGUGGCGAAGGCACUCUGCUGGGCCGACACUGACACUGAGAGACGAAAGCUAGGGGAGCAAAUGGG